rnacentral:rRNA from 1 species
UGGGGGAUAUUGCACAAUGGGCGAAAGCCUGAUGCAGCGACGCCGCGUGGGGGAUGAAGGCCUUCGGGUUGUAAACUUCUUUUGCUCUGAACAAGGCAUGCUAAUGGGUGUGUUGAGUGUAGGGGUUGAUUAGCGCCGGCUAACUACGUGCCAGCAGCCGCGGUAAUACGUAGGGCGCGAGCGUUGUCCGGAAUUAUUGGGCGUAAAGGGCUUGUAGGUGGCUGGUUGCGUCUGUCGUGAAAGAUCAUGGCUUAACUGUGGGUUUGGGGUGGUUACGGGCUGGCUUGAGUGCUGUAGGGGAGGCUGGAAUUCCUGGUGUAGCGGUGGAAUGCGCAGAUAUCAGGAGGAAUACCGGUGGCGAAGGCGGGUCUCUGGGCUGUUACUGACACUGAGGAGCGAUAGCAUGGGGAGCGAACAGG